AGCCAUUUAAUACACCCCCAAAUCACGCCCACAGUAAAUCGCUCUUCUUCUUUACCAAUUGUACCUAUGAAAAGCAAAAUUUCUCAAAUCAAAACUACAGAAUUCUUUAGUAACCUGCCAUUGCAUCCUCGAAUCUAUCUCAACCUCUAGUCCCCCUCAUUUUCAAUCCCAAAAAUCAUCUAUUCCAACAGCAAUACCGUCAUUGUGGUCUCAAUAUACCUCCCUAUAUGAAGCCUAAUGGACUACGUUAAAAUCACAAAUCCAAGUCCGAAAUAAAGCUUCUCUGCAACAUAGAAUCCAUUAGCUGAUACUGAAAAUGGAGGAUGACAUCAACAAUUUCAUCCAAAGACAACAGGUGGAAAAAGGAAUAUGGAUACAGUAGUUCUGGAUUUGAGUUCGCGGAAGAAAAAUGGUCCAUCACUGUCAAGCAAAGGUUUGAGGAUCUUCGAUGCUCGAUUUGGGGAAUUUGGGCCUCUUAAGGACAUUUGUCUCCUGCACAAUAUUACAUUGUAUAAAGCACGAGUCAUGGGAUCUUACGCUAACUAGAUAACAUGUAUUGUGUGAUACCUCGCUUGACAUAGUUGUUGUGUGCGUAAGAUGACAACGAAGGGGGCUUAAAAGGCAAAGGAUACUAUCAAAGCAAGAGUCCAAUUAAGAAACAAGAUGUACAAGAUGCAAGGAGUACAACCAUAAUAGAAAGAUGUGUAAGCACUCACUACCACUGAAUCAAAUACGAAAGAGGAAAAGAAGUUUGUAAAGUAUCAAACAUGUUGAUAAGACGUUACAGAUGCUGGACUAGAGAUGGUUGGAUUUCUAUUUUAAUUUCUAAGGAGAAAAAUUUCAUACCACCUAGUGUAUUCCAUAAUGAAUACUUAUUGUUAAUGGUUUGUUUUGUUUUGUUUUUUGUUUUUUGUUUUUGUUUGAAAUGCAUGUUUACAAAGAUGGGGACAAGAUCAAUAUGAUUUUUGGUAAAUUUCAUGUA